UUAAACGGUAGGGUAUUGGCCUACCGUGGCAAUGACGGGUAACGGGGAAUUAGGGUUCGAUUCCGGAGAGGGAGCCUGAGAAACGGCUACCACAUCUAAGGAAGGCAGCAGGCGCGCAAAUUACCCAAUCCUAAUACAGGGAGGUAGUGACAAGAAAUAACAAUACAGGACUUUUUGGUUUUGUAAUUGGAAUGAG
rnacentral:rRNA from 1 species